UACGAAGGGGGCUAGCGUUGCUCGGAAUCACUGGGCGUAAAGCGCACGUAGGCGGACUCUUAAGUCGGUGGUGAAAUCCUGGAGCUCAACUCCAGAACUGCCUUCGAUACUGGGAGUCUCGAGUCCGGGAGAGGUGAGUGGAACUGCGAGUGUAGAGGUGAAAUUCGUAGAUAUUCGCAAGAACACCAGUGGCGAAGGCGGCUCACUGGCCCGGUACUGACGCUGAGGUGCGAAAGCGUGGGGAGCAUACAGG
rnacentral:rRNA from 1 species